rnacentral:tRNA from 1 species
AAUUAUUUGGCCGAGGUUAGGCAGAUAUUUUGAAAGUAUCUUACAGGGAUUUGAUUAAACCCUAAUAAUUU